rnacentral:tRNA from 3 species
GGCGGUGUAGCUCAGUUGGUAGAGCAGCGGACUCAUAAGCCGCGGGUCACCCGUUCGAUCCGGGUCACCGCCACCA